GACCCCACCAGUCCUUUAAACACAAAGGUCUGGUCCCAGCNUUAAAAUCAAUUAUUACUAGAUUUACACAUGCAAGUCUCCGCACCCCUGUGAAUACGCCCUAAAAUCCCACCCGGACUAAGGAGCCGGUAUCAGGCACAACAAUUUGCCCAAGACACCUAGCCUCGCCACUCCCACAAGGGCAUGCAGCAGUGAUUAAAAUUGAAUAUUGACAUCAGUCAGACUCAGUUAAUGUAAGCAGAACCGGCAAAUGUGGUGCCAGCCGCCGCGGAUACACCACCAGGCUCAAAUUGAUUUUUCACCGGCGUAAAGCGUGAUUAAAGAACUUAUUAAACUAGGGCUUAACUUAAACUAAUAUGUUAUAAUUUAGCUUUAAGGAGAACCAAACACGAAAGUUACCCUAUUUAACCCCACUUGAACCCACGACAUCUAGGACACAAACUGGGAUUAGAUACCCCACUAUGCCUAAAUGUAAACCUUUAUUUACAUCACCAU
rnacentral:rRNA from 1 species